rnacentral:rRNA from 1 species
GUAAGGCACUGAAAAUGCCUAGAUGAGUAACCCUAAACUCCAUAGACAUAAAGGUUUGGUAAUUACACAUGCGAGGGUCCCCUUACCGGUGAGAAUACCCUUUGAAUCCCAUACUGGAUUAAAAGGAGUAGGUAUCAAGCACACUUAUGAGUAGCUCACUACACCUUGCUUAGCCACAUCCCCACGGAAAUACAGCAGUGAUAAAAAUUAAGCAAUAAACGAAAGUUGACUUAGUUAUGCUAAUAUAGAGUUGGUAAAUUUCGUGCCAGCCACCGCGGUCAUACGAUUGACUCAAAUUAAUGGAGAACCGGCGUAAAGCGUGUUUUAGAAAUAAAAAUUAAUGAGAUUAAGUUCUAUCUAGGUCGUAAAAAACUUCAGAUUGAUACAAAGCCAGCAUGCGAAAGCAAUCUCAAUAACUCUGAAUACACGAUACCUAAGACUCAAACUGGGAUUAGAUACCCCACUAUGCUUAGGCGUAAACAUAAAAAAUUCAUAACAAAAUUAUUCGCCAGAGAACUACUAGCAACAGCUUAAAACUCAAAGGACUUGGCGGUGCUUCACAACCAUCUAGA